rnacentral:rRNA from 1 species
GAUGAACGCUGGCGGCGUGCUUAACACAUGCAAGUCGAACGGGAAUUAUUUUAUUGAAACUUCGGUCGAUUUAAUUUAAUUCUAGUGGCGGACGGGUGACUAACGCGUGGGUAACCUGCCUUAUACAGGGGGAUAACAGUCAGAAAUGGCUGCUAAUACCGCAUAAGCGCACAGAGCUGCAUGGCUCAGUGUGAAAAACUCCGGUGGUAUAAGAUGGACCCGCGUUGGAUUAGCUGGUUGGUGGGGUAACGGCCCACCAAGGCGACGAUCCAUAGCCGGCCUGGGAGGGUGAACGGCCACAUUGGGACUGAGACACGGCCCAGACUCCUACGGGAAGCAGCAGUGGGGAAUAUUGCACAAUGGGGGAAACCCUGAUGCAGCGACGCCGCGUGAAGGAAGAAGUAUCUCGGUAUGUAAACUUCUAUCAGCAGGGAAGAUAGUGACGGUACCUGACUAAGAAGCCCCGGCUAACUACGUG